UUUAGAUGGCAAAUGGUCCUCUUCCGAGGCCUUGACGGCUCAACCUCCACUUGCUUUCCCUUAGCAAUUCGUCUUGGCUGCAUAUUUGGUCCCUGCAAAUUUUUUGAACAAAAAUAAAGUAUGGAGUUAGGAGAAAAGAUUACUGUGUACUUGUAGAGGACUAAAAAUGGAGCAACUUUUGUGAAGGGAGUAGGCGAUUUGGAAGGUUUAUGGUGAUAAAGGAGUGAGCUUUAAUGGUGGAGGCUAUAGAGUUAUGUGAAAGCUCAAGGAGGAAGAAGGAGG
rnacentral:lncRNA from 1 species